GUUAAUUGAUCAGGACGUGCUUGCACUGAAUGAGAUUUUAACACGAAGUAANUGGCGGACGGGUGAGUAACACGUGGGUAACCUGCCCAGAAGCAGGGGAUAACACCUGGAAACAGAUGCUAAUACCGUAUAACAGAGAAAACCGCCUGGUUUUCUUUUAAAAGAUGGCUCUGCUAUCACUUCUGGAUGGACCCGCGGCGCAUUAGCUAGUUGGUGAGGUAACGGCUCACCAAGGCGAUGAUGCGUAGCCGACCUGAGAGGGUAAUCGGCCACAUUGGGACUGAGACACGGCCCAGACUCCUACGGGAGGCAGCAGUAGGGAAUCUUCCACAAUGGACGCAAGUCUGAUGGAGCAACGCCGCGUGAGUGAAGAAGGUUUUCGGCUCGUAAAGCUCUGUUGUUAAAAAAAAACGUGGGUGAAAGUAACUGUUCACCCAGUGACGGUAUUUAACCAGAAAGCCACGGCUAACUACGUGCCAGCAGCCGCGGUAAUACGUA
rnacentral:rRNA from 1 species